rnacentral:lncRNA from 1 species
UGUGGGAGUCCACUGCAAUAAUCUAAGAAAGAAAUCAUGUGAGCUUGAGAAGGAAUCAGAUUCUGCAUAUAUUUCCAAGUUAACAUGAACAAGAUUUUCUGAAAGACUGCUAUGGAGUCUGAGAAAAAAGUGUCAAAGGUAGUGCCAAAAUUGUCACUUAAAGAACUGCAGGAAUGGAGUUGGCAUUUACAGAAUUUAGAAGAGAAGCAGGUUUAGUGAUAAAGACCAGAAGCACAGAGCUAAGCAUAUUAAAUAUUGAGGACAUGAGGAGGAAAGAACUGACAGAGGAGAUGAAGAAAGGUGAUCAGGAAGAGCCAUCAAAGUGUUAUCCUGGAAUUCAAGUGAAGACAGUGUUUCAAAGUGGAAAUGAACAGUGUCCUGUAACCCUCAGGUGAGACUAGAGUCAGAAUGCAGGCUUUUCUCAUUUGAAAUCUAUAUGCCACAGAGAGGAUCCAGAGAGCCCAUCUUCAGUCAGUUAUCUGUAUUUGCAUGUCAACUACAGCAUCAAGAAGCAUAGGCAUGGAUACUAAGGACCCCCUCUGUACACCAAAGCCAGUCCAAAGGACAGUGUGUCACUGUGAACUGUAAAUUCAUCUCUCUUCUUCAUCUUUUUUCUACCUACUUUAUGCUUUAUCUCUAAGUUGAGGCUGUUUAUGGCCUCAUCCUCAAUUACCUUGUCCCUC